GUGGAACAACGAAGUAGCGAGGGAUGUCAAAGGAUGGAUUGUUCGUACAACGAAAUGCAGUUUUUCGUCUGGUCACGGUCCAACUGAUUUUUUCGAUUCUUUGAAUAGUGGCGUUACACUUUGCACUUUGGCCAACGUCCUAUCCCCAGGCUCUAUUAAGAACUAUCAUAAAAACGCAAAAAUGCCAUUUCAUAAGAUGGAAAACAUUGGCUAUUUCACAGACUUUGUGACGAAGUACAAAAUUCCUGACGCAUAUAAAUUUGUUACGAAUGAUUUGUACACACAGCAUAACAUGAACCAGGU